UAGAUGCCAUCCAUACCAACUGCAUAGAUUUGGCCAUCUCAGUUUACUAAGGCGUAUAACAAAGCUAUUGCUUACAGAUUUGUACGAAGCUUGAGUGCCUGGAGUAAGAAUGAUAUCAACAGGAGUUGAGAAUACAGGAAGCAAAAAAGCUGGAGAAGGUGGAUUUCUCAACCUUGCCUGUUUUAUGUAAGAAAAUUGGUAUGAUCUCUCUCGUAUUCUCCAAACUCCACCGUGCUUUAAGAUAACUUACUUUAGGACUUUCUCUUCUGCCCAUUUAUAAAGUCCUUCACCAAGAUGCCAGAUUUCGCCUUCAAGAAGACUGUUUUCACCAUGGUAUUAUACUUCUCUCCUUAGAACCACCAGUAAUCUUCUUACCUAUG